AUUUAAUCAAGUAUUAAAUACGUUCAAAACCCACAACCUCGAAUCAAAACCUUCUGUUCCAAAAAGCUCUCAAACCAUUUACAGCAAAGCUUUACAAAUCUCUACUCCUAAAUUGUUUAGAUCCUUCAAGUGAAACAUCCGGGUGGUGACCAUGAGCAGGACCAACGUGUUUCCCUCCUUCGUCAAGUCAACUAUGCCAACCGCGCAGUUUCGAUGAGAAUUACAUCCAAGAACUCGUUGAGAAAGCCAUCAGGUUCGCUUUACAUAUGCGUACUUAUUGUUAAUAUAUCUAUAUAUUAUUUUGUUCUUUUUCUACGUUUGGGGUUUUCUUUUGCCUUUCUUCGAAGCCACACUUUUUGUGAUCAAAGUGGAUUAGGGAAGUUCUGGAUUGGAUAUGUUACUCCAAUUGAAUGGGAUUAAAAUUUUUAGAGUAUAUUGUUUAUGCUUUGUAGAUUUUUUGUUUAAUUGCUCUAAAACUGAAAGAACGAAAGCACUUUCUUUCUUAAUGCAUACGAUGGCCUCAAAAUAACUGAAGGAAGUGUCAAAGGGAAGGACAAGUGACUCAGCAACUGGAGUUUCACAUCACUAGCUUUCGUGUUAGGUAGCAAAAGCAUUGGAAGAGUUUCUUGACUUACCAGUAUUUGUUGAUAGUCCGCAUGAUAGACUACCAAACUGUUGUUGUAACAAUUUCUACAUUUUUUUCCUCUUUCCUUUUUAUAAUUUGCAUAUGAUUUUAUAAAUUAAAGAAAACAGGUUUUUGGUUACGCUUCAUGCUUUUUAACAAUUUAUUUAAGGCUGAAAGCUGUUAGCAUCAUAUACAUUUCAAAACUGUUGUAUACUGUACCAUUAAGCAAUUUAGUUUUGUAAUUUUUGAUGUAUUGUUUCCUACCUUUUUUAGUAUUCAUCCUUGUUAAGCAAUUUAGCUUUGUAAUUUUUGAUGUAUUGUUUCCAACUUUUCUAAAAUUUCGG
rnacentral:lncRNA from 1 species